rnacentral:rRNA from 1 species
UACGAAGGGGGCUAGCGUUGCUCGGAAUCACUGGGCGUAAAGGGCGCGUAGGUGGCGGCCCAAGUCCAUGGUGAAAGCUCGAUGCUCAACAUCGAGUCGGCCACGGAUACUGGGUUGCUCGAGCACUGUAGGGGCAGAUGGAAUUCCGGGUGUAGCGGUGGAAUGCGUAGAGAUCCGGAAGAACACCGGUGGCGAAGGCGGUCUGCUGGGCAGUUGCUGACACUGAGGCGCGACAGCGUGGGGAGCAAACAGGG